UACUUAAAGUUUAAGUACAUUUUUGGUAUUUUGAAUAUGUCAUAAAUAAUUCUUUAUACCUAAUGUAAACUUAUGUUGAAACAUUUUUGAAAAAAAUAUUUAGGCACCCUAUUUAUUUUAGUUUAUUCAUUUCUCAUUUUUAUUUAUUUAACCCUUAUGUAGAUUUUUCAAAACUGUGGAAUAUAACUUAGUUUUUUCUCUAUCGACUACUACUGUAGUACAAUUACAUCGGGAUCGAAGUCGGGCUCGAAAAGCAAUUAAUUCAAAAACAACACACCGCGCCGAAAAAUCAAUUUUUUGGAGGGUUCCACGCAGCCAUGUUGAACUUGAUCAUGAUGUUGUACGGGAGGAAGGGACGAAAGAGAGUGACGCGAAAAGGAGAAGCAUGAUUAACUUUGGAUGGAAUUUAUGUUUUAACAGAAGAUGAAGACAUUUACAUGUACGACCCUGUUUACCGGUAGGAACAAUGUACAAAAUUUUAUCACGUGUCCUUGAAUGAAUAAUUGCCUCUGCUACUGAUAAUGUUACUGUUCCUUAGUCUGGGCUCUACACAUAAAAUACCUGGCAGUAAAAACGUUUGGGCAAGCGCUAUUUAAAUUUUUUGCAGUGUGGACUGUGCCUGAGACGAUUCCCCACAGCGCCGGCUAUGUAGACAGCUUGUGAAAAUGGAAUCCUAAUGCUCACAAGAAAUGACAAAAGCAGCAUGAAGAUUAACACAAAGAAAUUGUGCCAGAAAAGUUUGAAGUAGCUAUGAGAAUGAUCAACAUUGAACUUGCUGAGCCUUCCUUCUGAAAGUGACUUGACCAGAUAUUUGGCUACCUAGUAUGAGUAUCUUUCUGCUACAUUAAAUAAAAUAUCGUGGAGGAACAUGAAGAAAAGGGCUGCGCAUCUCAGCAUAUUCAAGGUCAAGCAGCUUUUUACCAUAUCCUCAGUAUCUUGCUGCUAAAUGAAAGAAUUAUUGUGGAGGAACAGAGAAAAGGGCACCUCAACAUGUUCAAGGUCAAGCAGAAAUUAGGAGCUAGAUGUGCUUCUCCAGAGCUGAAAACUUCUUGGCAUGAAGAGAAGAAAAAGCAAGAAGAAGCAGUUUUAAAUAUUGAUUACGUCUUCAUAGUACAAAAAAUGAUUCUAAAGAUAAUACUAUCUAUGAAAUUAGAAAAUUGAAGUUGCAUUCUGAUAAAUGUGAGAAAUAAAGUCUUCAAAGAACAGGACACCAAAAGUGCCACUCUCAAAUCAAAGCACUCUAAAAGGCAGAGCAUAAGAAGAACUAGGACAAAUAAAGAAUCUAAAAGAGUCAAACCUUUGGAUGUAGUAAUUGAACAGAGAUGGGUUAUUAGAGAUGAAAUAUCUGAGUUGCUACUGUUUUGCACAAAUGUGAUGCUUUUUUUACUUAUCUUUAAUUGACACAUUCAAUGUUAGAUAAGAAAAAUAUACCUAGUGUUGUAUCUUUGAAAGUGAAAGUUUUUUCUGAUGCUUGAUUACAGAUUAAAACUGUUAAGUUUUUUAUUGUUUAAACAUUUAUUGGUUUGUUGUGUAAUCUGCAAUCACAUACAUUUUAAUCUUGAUUUAUAUAUUACAUAUAUAUACAAGUCUAACUUAAAUGAUGAGUGCAUGGAUAUUAUUGUGGGAAAAAAUAAGACAAUCAAGGGUAGUCUGAAAGAGGUUUGCUGGCAGUAAGUUGCAGAUCUUGAUACCCAAGUAAGAGAUAGGUGGUGUCUCUGACCGAUCCUUUUGCUGUUGCUUGUGGGCGAGUGAGGCUUCUCUGUCAGUGGCUUAGUGAGUCAUAGAUGUAAAAAAUAGAAUAGGCAAAUGAGGUAGAGACAUUUCUGAGUAAAAAAGGGGUGAAUUGUGAUUUUAAUAAAUAUUACAAUUGAUAUUGCAAGAGUAAUGAGAAUUGCAAGUCAUAGAGUAAAAUAUUUGUUUCCUUCCAUUUGAAGUAAGAGAGUUUAUGAAUUAUGAGUUAUGGAAUUGUAAUUAAGGCUUUAAAAAAAUUGUUAAAUAUACUUGUACAUAUGUUUAUACAGGACUUUUAUAUGUGCAUGUUUCAGAGCUCAUUCUUGAUAUUUUAAGGCAAAGUUAAAAAUAUCACUAUUGAAAUGUCUUGCAUUCAAAUGUAAAGUUGAUUUAAUGAGGAUAAGUUAAAUUACAAUCAUCAAGCAAUAAACCUAGCAGUUGGAGCAGAAAUGAGCUACAUGUAUUGUAAACAAAUUUAAGCUGCUAUUGUUUUGUGUAAUUGUGAUACUUUUUCCUUAAUUUGAAUUGACAUAACCAAAUGAUAUAAAAGAUUUUUUUGGGUGUUGUAUUUUUCACAGUCAACAUUAAGUAUUUUACAAGUUGAACUUGAAUAAUUAGUGCAUGGACAUCUAUUGUGGAAAUACUUGGGAAACAAUAUAAGGGUGGUCUGAAAGAGGUUAGCUGGCAGUAACUUGCAGAUCUUGAUACCCAAGUAAGAGAAAGGUGGUGUCUCUGACCGAUCCUUUUGCUGUUGCUUGUGGGCGAGUGAGGCUUCUCUGUCAGUGGCUUCGUGUGUCUUAUUAAAUGUACAUGUAAAAAGAAUUCACAACUUUUAUUGGCAACUUUUAUUCUUUUUAUGCAAAAUAUGAUAUAAUUUAUUGUGGGAAAUUGAAAAGCCAUUUACAACUCAUGCAGCAGUUUUAAUAGGGGCAGUUUCAGUCAUAUUUUGCAGUCUUUUGGAGUCCAGAAUGACUACAUUUUUUACCUGUUGUGUUCUGAUUUAUUGCGGAUUUGAAUUUUACAUACAAUUCUAUUCUUAUAUUAAAUUAUUUUUAAUUACUUCAAUAUAUUACUUACUACUAGUAUGUAAAAAUUUAUUCUAUUAUAAUAGAACUACAAUCAUGAUUGUAAAUUUUUAAAUUCUGACU